AUGGAAUGAUGCCACAUGUAUACCUUUCAGAGAUCCAGGAGGGAAUUAAAUCAUGAUUACAAAGAAGUGUCUCAUUGUGAUCCUUAUUGGCCUUAGACGUAAAACUUGGUGCUGCGUAAAGUUCUACCUGCAGCUCUUACCACGUCUCCUGUCCUAA
rnacentral:lncRNA from 1 species